GACAUAGGUCGCAAACGUUAUCCGGAAUUAUUGGGCGUAAAGGAUGCGUAGAUGGUUCAAUAAGUUACUGGUGGGAAAUCGAGGCUCAACCUCGUGGAAGUCAGUAAUACUGUUGAACUUGAGUGCAGGAGAGGUUAACGGAACUUUAUGUGGAGCGGUAAAAUGCGUAGAUAUAUGAAAAGAACAUCAAUAUGGCGAAGGCAGUUAACUAUUCUGUUAACUGACGUU
rnacentral:rRNA from 1 species